GACGAGCUCGCUUCUAACCGUCCGCGUCGUCGGACAAGGA
rnacentral:rRNA from 1 species